UACGUAGGUGGCAAGCGUUGUCCGGAAUUAUUGGGCGUAAAGCGCGCGCAGGCGGGAAUAUCAGUCUGUCUUAAAAGUGCGGUGCUUAACGCCGUGAGGGGACAGAAACUAUAUUUCUUGAGUGCAGGAGAGGACAGUGGAAUUCCCAGUGUAGCGGUGAAAUGCGUAGAUAUUGGGAGGAACACCAGUGGCGAAGGCGACUGUCUGGACUGUGUCUGACGCUGAGGCGCGAAAGCCAGGGUAGUGAACG
rnacentral:rRNA from 1 species